CCCUUAGAUGUUCUGGGCCGCACGCGCGCUACAAUGAUGCAUUCAACGAGUCUAAAACCUGGUCUGAUAGGGCUGGGUAAUCUUUUGAAUGUGCAUCGUGAUUGGGAUAGAUGAUUGCAAUUCUUCAUCUUCAACGAGGAAUGCCUAGUAAACGCAAGUCAUCAGCUUGCAUUGAUUACGUCCCUGCCCUUUGUACACACCGCCCGUCGCUCCUACCGAUUGAAUGUUCCGAUGAAUACCAUGGACUGAGAGUAUGAAUGGGUUCGCCUAUUUCUGCUUCUCGGGAAGUGGAGUAAAUCUUAACAUUUAGAGGAAGGAGAAGUCGUAACA
rnacentral:rRNA from 1 species